CAAUUUAAAUUAACAAUUUUACAUUACAUAAUAUUAAAUUUCACUUUGAUAACACACACAAAUUUACUUGUAAUAUUUUGUCUAAACAAAAGCUAAAUAGAACCUGAUGAAUACUUACAUAUGAAAAUUCUAAACAACUAUAUUUAGUUAAUUACAUGAAAGAUAAUUCUAAAUGGAUUAAUUGAAGGGUGGUUUCCAUAAUAAUGCUUCUUGAUAUGCUCCAUGUUGACAGUGUUACUCAUUCCAGGACUCUGUUGCACUUUGAACUCUUAAACUAAACUACAUAAGCCAUAAACCUGCAUAUGUGUACACUAUAUAUCAACCCAUUCGUCUAAUAUAAAAGAGUUUACAGAUAGGCAAUAAUUCAGCAACAAAUCUGCAUGUCAAUUCAAUAAUUCACAAUAAACUGUGAUCUUCACUUCACAUAUAUAUGCAUGACAUCGAUCCAUGUAGAUUAAAGCCUCAUACAGGUUAUAAUCCUCAAUCCACAUGCAACAAAGACGACGACAACAACAACAGAACGGUUGCAGCAGAACAACUGCUACAACCCAGAACAGUGAGAAACAGAACAUGAAAAGAAAACUAAUUAUGCCGUUUUGGGCCUUUUGGUCAUAUAAUUUAAAUUAAAAAAAAUUCAAAGAAGCAUGAUACGAUUUCGAUUUUAUGCGGUUUUGACUAGUAACCAACUCAAA
rnacentral:lncRNA from 1 species